rnacentral:rRNA from 1 species
UGGGGAAUUUUGGACAAUGGGCGCAAGCCUGAUCCAGCCAUGCCGCGUGCGGGAAGAAGGCCUUCGGGUUGUAAACCGCUUUUGUCAGGGAAGAAAUCCUCUGAGUUAAUACCUCGGGAGGAUGACGGUACCUGAAGAAUAAGCACCGGCUAACUACGUGCCAGCAGCCGCGGUAAUACGUAGGGUGCAAGCGUUAAUCGGAAUUACUGGGCGUAAAGCGUGCGCAGGCGGUUUUGUAAGACAGAGGUGAGAUCCCCGGGCUCAACCUGGGAACUGCCUUUGUGACUGCAAGGCUUGAGUGCGGCAGAGGGGGGAUGGAAUUCCGCGUGUAGGCAGUGAAAUGCGUAGAUAUGCGGAGGAACACCGAUGGCGAAGGCAAUCCCCUGGGCCUGCACUGACGCUCAUGCACGAAAGCGUGGGGAGCAAACAGGAUUAGAUACCCUGGUAGUCCACGCCCUAAACGAUGUCAACUGGGCUUGGUUGGGAAGGUUCCUUCUCAGUAACGUAGCUAACGCGUGAAGUUGACCGCUAGGAGUACGGCCAGCAAGGUUGAAACUCAAAUGAAUGACGGGGUCAUAGCUG